UACAGAGGUGGCAAGCGUUGUUCGGAAUCACUGGGCGUAAAGCGUGCGUAGGUGGCGCGUUAAGUGAGAUGUUAAAACGUGGGGCUCAACCCUGUCGGUGCAUCUCAUACUGGCGUGCUAGAGGACAGCAGAGGCAAGUGGAAUUUGUAGUGUAGCAGUGAAAUGCGUAGAUAUUACAAGGAACACCAAUGGCGAAGGCAGCUUGCUGGGCUACUCCUGACACUGAGGUACGAAAGCGUGGGGAGCGAACAGG
rnacentral:rRNA from 1 species